rnacentral:rRNA from 1 species
AAAUCAGUUAUCGUUUAUUUGAUAGUGCCUAUCCUACUUGGAUAACCGUGGUAAUUCUAGAGCUAAUACAUGCUAAAAAUCCCGACUUCGGAAGGGAUGCAUUUAUUGGAUACAGAACCAACGCCCUUCGGGGCUUUCUGGUGAAUCACAAUAACUUCGCGGAUCGCACGGCCUUGUGCCGGCGAUGGUUCAUUCAAAUUUCUGCCCUAUCAACUUUCGACGGCUGGGUCUUGGCCAGCCGUGGUGACAACGGGUAACGGAGGGUUAGGGCUCGACCCCGGAGAAGGAGCCUGAGAGACGGCUACUACAUCCAAGGAAGGCAGCAGGCGCGCAAAUUACCCAAUCCCGACUCGGGGAGGUAGUGACAAUAAAUACUGAUCCAGGGCUCUUUUGGGUCUUGGAAUUGGAAUGAGUACAAUUUAAAUCCCUUAACGAGGAACAAUUGGAGGGCAAGUCUGGUGCCAGCAGCCGCGGUAAUUCCAGCUCCAAUAGCGUAUAUUAAAGUUGUUGAGGUUAAAAAGCUCGUAGUUGAACCUUGGCCCCGGCUAGCUGGUCCGCCUCACCGCGAGUACUGGUUCGGCCGGGGCUUUCCCUCUGGGGAACCUCAUGCCCUUCACUGGGUGUGCUGGGGAACCAGGACUUUUACUGUGAACAAAUCAGAUCGCUCAAAGAAGGCCUUCGCUCGAAUGCAUUAGCAUGGAAUAAUAGAAUAGGACGUGCGGUUCUAUUUUGUUGGUUUCUAGGACCGCCGUAAUGAUUAAUAGGGACAGUCGGGGGCGUCCGUAUUCAAUUGUCAGAGGUGAAAUUCUUGGAUCUAUUGAAGACGAACUACUGCGAAAGCAUUCGCCAAGGAUGUUUU